rnacentral:rRNA from 1 species
AUUGAACGCUGGCGGCAUGCCUUACACAUGCAAGUCGAACGGUAACAGGUCUUCGGAUGCUGACGAGUGGCGAACGGGUGAGUAAUACAUCGGAACGUGCCUAGUAGUGGGGGAUAACUACUCGAAAGAGUGGCUAAUACCGCAUGAGAUCUACGGAUGAAAGCAGGGGAUCGCAAGACCUUGUGCUACUAGAGCGGCCGAUGGCAGAUUAGGUAGUUGGUGGGAUAAAAGCUUACCAAGCCGACGAUCUGUAGCUGGUCUGAGGGGACGAUCAGCCACAGUGGGACUGAGACACGGCCAAGACUCCUACGGGAGGCAGCAGUGGGGAAUUUUGGACAAUGGGCGCAAGCCUGAUUCAGCAAUGCCGCGUGCAGGAUGAAGGCCUUCGGGUUGUAAACUGCUUUUGUACGGAACGAAAAGCCCUGGGUUAAUACCCUGGGGUCAUGACGGUACCGUAAGAAUAAGCACCGGCUAACUACGUGCCAGCCGCCGCGGUAAAAC